rnacentral:rRNA from 1 species
GUGUCAGCCGCCGCGGUAAUACGUAGGUGGCAAGCGUUGUCCGGAAUUAUUGGGCGUAAAGAGCGCGUAGGCGGGAAUGUAAGUCGGUCUUAAAAGUGCGGAGCUCAACUCCGUGAUGGGAACGAAACUACAUUUCUUGAGUACCGGAGAGGAAAGUGGAAUUCCCAGUGUAGCGGUGAAAUGCGUAGAUAUUGGGAGGAACACCAGUGGCGAAGGCGACUUUCUGGACGGUGUCUGACGCUGAGGCGCGAAAGCCAGGGGAGUGAACGGGAUUAGAUACCCCGGUAAUCCUGGCCGUAAACGAUGGGUACUAGGUGUAGAGGGUAUCGACCCCUUCUGUGCCGGAGUUAACGCAAUAAGUACCCCGCCUGGGGAGUACGGCCGCAAGGUUGAA